rnacentral:rRNA from 1 species
UGCCAGCUGCCGCGGUAACACGGGGGGCGCAAGCGUUAUUCGGAAUUAUUGGGCGUAAAGGGCGCGCAGGCGGUCUUGUCCGUCAGGUGUGAAAGCUCGGGGCUCAACCCCGGAAGUGCACUUGAAGCAGCAUGACUUGAGUACGGGAGAGGAGGGAGGAAUUCCUGGUGUAGAGGUGAAAUUCGUAGAUAUCAGGAGGGACACCGAUGGCGAAGGCAUCUCUCUGGACCGAUACUGACGCUGAGGCGCGAAGGCGUGGGUAGCGAACGGGAUUAGAUA